rnacentral:misc_RNA from 1 species
CAGAGUUCAUGCCCGAAAGGGUAGACCUCCCACCCUUGUGUAUUAUUACUUUGUUGCUUUGGCGAGCUGCCUUCGGGCCUUGUAUGCUCGCCAGAGAAUACCA